rnacentral:rRNA from 1 species
AACGAACGCUGGCGGCGUGCCUAAUACAUGCAAGUCGAACGAAGCUGUUUUAACUGGUGCUUGCACCGACUUAAACAACUGAGUGGCGAACGGGUGAGUAACACGUGGGUAACCUGCCCCAAAGCGGGGGAUAACAUUUGGAAACAGAUGCUAAUACCGCAUAACCACAGAAACCACAUGGUUUCUGUGUCAAAGAUGGUUUCGGCUAUCACUUUGGGAUGGACCCGCGGCGUAUUAGCUAGUUGGUAAGGUAAUGGCUUACCAAGGCAAUGAUACGUAGCCGAACUGAGAGGUUGAUCGGCCACAUUGGGACUGGGACACGGCCCAAACUCCUACGGGAGGCAGCAGUAGGGAAUCUUCCACAAUGGACGAAAGUCUGAUGGAGCAACGCCGCGUGAGUGAAGAAGGUUUUCGGAUCGUAAAACUCUGUUGUCAGAGAAGAACGUGUGCGAGAGUAACUGUUCGUGCAGUGACGGUAUCUGGCCAGAAAGCCACGGCUAACUACGUGCCAGCCGCCGCCGUAAGAC